AGCGAACGCUGGCGGCAGGCUUAACACAUGCAAGUCGAACGCCCCGCAAGGGGAGUGGCAGACGGGUGAGUAACACGUGGGAACGUACCCUUUGGUUCGGAAUAACUUGGGGAAACUCAAGAUAAUACCGGAUAAGCCCUUAUGGGGAAAGGUUUACUGCCUAAGGAUCGGCCCGCGUCUGAUUAGCUAGUUUGUGAGGUAAUGGCUCACCAAGGCGACGAUCAGUAGCUGGUCUGAGAGGAUGAUCAGCCACACUGGGACUGAGACACGGCCCAGACUCCUACGGGAGGCAGCAGUGGGGAAUAUUGGACAAUGGGGGCAACCCUGAUCCAGCCAUGCCGCGUGAGUGAUGAAGGCCUUAGGGUUGUAAAGCUCUUUUACCCGGGACGAUAAUGACUGUACCGGGAGAAUAAGCCCCGGCUAACUUCGUGCCAGCCGCCGCGGUAA
rnacentral:rRNA from 1 species